AACUCAUUGUUGGCCUUUAUGGACCUCAACCUCAUGGUGAGCUGGAAGCAUAGGAAGUUGUUGGUGCCUAUGGCCUGGAGACCCAGCAGCUCACACAAUGCCACCAGCUGCUGGCAGGUGAGGUUAUCCAGGGUCAGCUCAUCCUCAAAUAAUUUGGGAAAGCGCAUGAUUUCUUCAUUGUUAGGUCUUUCCUGUCUCUCAGAUCUUCUGGAAAAACAUGGAGAAGGCUUUGGCAGUCCUCCCCUUGGCUUCUUUUCUCCUCGAUGGUGUCCUAGGGAGACAGUAGGCCUGUAAACAGACAGUCACAGUAGCAUGUGCCAAAGUCUGGAAUAACGACGGGUGUCUGGGGGCUGUGCAAGCUCUCGGAGAGGACUCAGGGUUUACCUGUGCCAAGUGCGGGGAGAGCCGUAAGGGGAUGCGUCCCUGAGGAAGGGACAGGUAAGCAAGAGCACUGAGAAGCCAAAAUAGUAAAAGACUCCAAGGCACACAACCAACAGGUAGCUCCAGGGGAUCACAGUGGCUGGACUUGGGUGGGAGGAGACAAUUG
rnacentral:lncRNA from 1 species